rnacentral:rRNA from 1 species
UGGGGAAUUUUGGACGAUGGGCGCAAGCCUGAUCCAGCAAUGCCGCGUGCAGGAUGAAGGCCUUCGGGUUGUAAAGCUCUUUCGGCAGGAACGAAACGGCGAGCUCUAACAUAGCUUGCUAAUGACGGUACCUGAAGAAGAAGCACCGGCUAACUACGUGCCAGCAGCCGCGGUAAUACGUAGGGUGCGAGCGUUAAUCGGAAUUACUGGGCGUAAAGCGUGCGCAGGCGGUUAUAUAAGACAGAUGUGAAAUCCCCGGGCUCAACCUGGGACCUGCAUUUGUGACUGUAUAGCUAGAGUACGGUAGAGGGGGAUGGAAUUCCGCGUGUAGCAGUGAAAUGCGUAGAUAUGCGGAGGAACACCGAUGGCGAAGGCAAUCCCCCGGACCUGUACUGACGCUCAUGCACGAAAGCGUGGGGAGCAAACA